rnacentral:tRNA from 2 species
AGCCCGGUCGUCUAGUUGGUCAAGGAUGCUGGCCUUUGGAGCCGGCGACCCUGGUUCGAAUCCAGGCCGGGCUA